rnacentral:lncRNA from 1 species
CAAGGGCACAAACAAUUGUAUUCCUCUGUGAAGGCCCACCAAAAUAACUUUUCCCCCGCCAGAGGGGCGCCAAGCUUCUCUAGUCCACUUUCCCGCAUUUUAUUGCUGACGUCACGAGUGAGUUGCUGAGAAUCAUGCUCCGAUAAAAUGUUCGUGAUUCUCAUUUAAAAGGCCUAUUUAUAAAAAUUGUGACGCAGUAACAUUUAAUUCCGCCUCUUGAGUCACUUUUCCAACGUGGUGAUUCUAACUUUUGUGAUCAGUGAACGUACGUAAUCGGAUAAUCCCUUGAAAAUGCCCAGACGAAACAGUUCCACCACGUGUUGUCCAUGCGCUAGGAAACAAAGAAGAAAAGAAUUCGCUUUUGAAAAAUGAGAGAAUUUGGAAGGUGAUGAAUGAUGAGUGGCCAUCUUUUCGCUGUUGUACCUGGGCCUCGGUGGGACUUUGUCGUGUUCGAAAACCAUUCAAGUUCUUAAUAGGGAAAACGUUUAUUGUGAUAGAAUCUUUUGCCAUCUGAAUCUCUCUCUCUGGCUGAAACAUGGACUCGUCAAAUUAAUUCAUUCAUUCAUAAUAAACCUCGGUAAAUAAACCACGAAAGAAUUAAGACGUGGGAAAAGAUUGAGAACAGCAGUUGCAGAUAAAAUUAAUGCAAGAUUGCGGUUGCAAAAUAUCUGGAUUGAAGAUUGGUUGGACAGCAGCACUACCUUGAAUUUCAAAAAAAGUUGUCUCAUACAGAUAAAUCGAUCAAACACACUUCUCUAGAACCUGAAAGUGACAUUCUGUGGUAUGGUGGUGACUGGUGAAGAAGAAAGAAGUGACCUUGAAGAAAAGUCAUCAAUUUCAUCUUGCUGUGACCCAGAACAAAUGCUGGAUUGUGCAUCAUACUGCUAUCCUUUUAACAAUUAUCUUCCGCUUCCCUUUAACAAUGAACUGGAUCCACAGAAGGCUAAUGAAGGCUGUGCUACUGCUUAUUACUGCCAAGGCAUAGGCCUACUACAGACUCUACAUCUUUACCAAAAGAGGAAGGAAAGGAAUAAGGAGUGAUCUCCCUUGCAGAUCCCAUUGAACUGUGCUACACUUUAACGGAAUUAUUUGACGCCAUCGACUGUACUGGAUUAAUGAAUGCAGUUAGCCUAGCUUCUCAACGUUGCUUGAAGGAGACUUAGUCAGGAGCCCGAAUCCGUUGUGCUCUUUGAGAAUCUGUGAAAGCCGCCCAUCUUGACUCACGCGCCAUGAUAAAGAUCCAACAAAUAGCUACUUGAUGACGAAUUCCCAAUGGUUUUGAUAUUUUGGACCAAGAUGACCUUCGAUCGGGCGAAGAAAACUUUUUACGAGGCUAAAUCAAAUGUUAUGGGUCCACUGAUGCUCCGCCUUUUGUUGAUACCCUACUACGUCUAUGAAGGACAUGUCGAAGGAUAAACAUCUCGAUCUUUCUCAAUGCGUUGGAAGCGCCCGUUACAUUGAUAAUGUCCUCAUUGCGGUUUAAAUAGCAUCGCACUUCCGCUCACCAGAAAUUCAGCGUGAAAAUAAUUUUUGUCGAAGACUGCCUCUACAAUUUGGUCAACAAAGCCUGGAAUCUCCAGUACAAGGAUCAAAACAAACUCACAUUCAAAAUGGUGUAACUGGCGAAGGAGCUCAUUCGGUUUGGAUUGGACUCAACAGUUUCAACGUUGUUCAAGACUUGCUCGUAAUUUGCUCAACAUCCUAGGCAGCGCGUCCAGUUUGGCUGAUGCCGAAUAUUUUCACAGAAACAAUCAAGGGUCAGGACAGCAUGCAAUAAUCGAAGAAAUGGAAACCCCUGACGGAGAGGGUGUGCUGUGGUCGUUGAGUGACAUAUUCACCGUCAUGACCACUUGCCCAGUUUAGACCUGGGAACGGCCGGAUUUGCCAAGUCUCCCAAGCAUCUUUGAUAAUCACCACACGGAAAUCAUGAGAGGUUCGGACUUCGAUAAAGUGAUGCCGAGUUUGGAAUCGUGGAUCAUCGAGUCAUUCAUUCGGCUGGAGAAGAUCUGGGUUCUCUUAGAUGACUCGGCGCAACAACUCACACAUCUCAUCCAGCGGAGCAACUCGCUACUUCACACCCGCCAUUUAGUGAUCCAGCGAAGAAACCCUCACUGCUCUGCCGCAUAUUCCUCGGCGCACUACGCUUUCUAACCCAUUCUUAGCGACAAGAGAAGCAACUCAAAAGGAAAGAACCAAGGAGUGUUUAACGAGAUCUCUUUUUAAAUUGCCAAACGUAAUCAUCCCCACUCUUCGAUGGGCAAAGGUCGAGCGCGAGGAAUAUCCCGGCGUUCCAGGUGUUGCAAAACGCUUUUGGUCUCAACGCCUCCGCGCAUUUCGUCGCACGUGAAUGCAACUCCCAUCCGGCUGCUGCAUAACGCGGUUGGACACCUUUCAGAGCUGUCCAGGAGUCGUCACUUCUACUUGGGCGUCAGUCUUUUGCCCGCGGCCCAUCUUCACGACGAUGCAGGCCGUUGGUGGUCUGCAACAUCCUGCUGGGUCUGGUAGUCAUGGCGACGGACAUAGAUAGCCUCUACGCGUUGGUCAAGUGCAACGGAAAGCCUAGCUCGAGAUGGAACACAUCUGCGGCUACCAGACGCUGACAUACCUCCUGGAACACCUCAAGACUUGGCUCAACAACCACAUCCAUCAUCUAUAUAUGAUCCUCGUCCUAAUCGGGUUCGAACAGCAUAACAUCAAGGCCACAAACGAGCCCAACAACAGCCUGGCAUUCGGGGACUUGCUGGCUUAUCUUGACGAAAUAUUCUUCCGGCGUACGGAACUCCCCUCCAGUCAUCUCCAGUCACCUCCGGAUUACGCCCAUUGCUCCUGCUGUCACACGAUGUCUACGCGGAAGAAAACGAAAAUCUGAGAUAAAUUCUUAGUCACAACGCAACUUCCUUUGUUCAGGGAUUUGCCCGCUUGACGCCCAUCGCUGCAAGCUGUCAAGGAGCUGAAGCGGCCCGUAGGCCACAUGAUCGGGGCCGAGAGGUCGGCCUUGGUGGUCGUCGAGGAAAACAAGUGCAUCCUGCCUCCCAACUACACGCGCAACUGAAAACUAACUGCGCAGCCCGCGGCUACGCCGGCCACUCCAUCCGCCUGGUCCCGCACGACUCGGACAAGGCCCUGAUGAUCUGCGAUGCGCCGUUCCACCAGAAGAUCCUGACCUGCAUUUGCCGACUGGCCGGGUCGUGGUGAUGGGCAACACGGUCGUCACCGUCUGGGCCCUGGGCAAGAAGCAAUUUUCGGUCCUCUAGCAAUUCUACGGCCACACGGAGGCCGUCACUUGCCUGCCAGCCUCGGCCGGCUAUGAGAUCCUGGUUUUGGGAUCGAAACAGCCAGACCGGCCAUCGUCAAGGAUUUGUCACGUUUGACUUUCAUCCGCCAGUCGACGAGGCACAACGCGCCGCUGGCGGCCAUCGACAUCAACAUCAACGACCUGACGGGCGACUCCACCUUCUUCGGCACUUGGCUCCACCUCUGGUCCAUCAACGGCCCUCCGCUGGCCAGCGUCAACACCCUGGUGGCUGGUGGGCCAGAUCGGCCGUUCUCAUCAGCACAUCCUCUUCGUCUGCUUCUCGCAGUUGAACGAGUGGGGUCCUUGAGCGUCAUCCUGACGGGAUCGACGGACGGAGUAGUCGAAUGUCGAAUGUAGUCCCUUGACUACGUCCAGGUUCCCAACAAUGAAAAGCUGGCACACCCCCACUGGCCAAUUGGCCAUCAGGCCAAAGGUGUGGAAACAUUCAGACGCCGUGGUUCCAUUGAAAGCAUUUGAUUUCCCUGAAAGGAUUUGGUGUUCAGUCUUACUGGACUGUUUAUCAGAAAUGACAGCCAAGGACUUUAAUCACGAGAAAAAAGAAACUUAGGCGUUUGCUGGAGGAUUACCCUGGUCCAGGUGUAAUGGGACGUUUGGCUUUUGAGGCUGCUGUGAAUUGUGAACUUGUUUUUCAACCCUGGUAAUCUGUCACGUCGCCAUGUUCGCUUGGCUCAUGGACAAGGUGGGACGACCAAUUCGGGACAAAAUGCUGGACGCUCCUUGGCGAAUUACCUCAAGAGUCAAAAAAUCGUCCAGUUUCAUCGACGAUGCGACCUCUUGCUGGGAUCUGGAUGGAGAAAAUGUUGGACCAAUUCUCGCUACCUUUUGCCGAUGCGUGGAUCGAAGGAUGGCACGAGAUAGGAUACACGAGGUUUUCGGAAUUCCGGUUGGGAUUCAAUGUUACCGGUCUGGACAUGUCUGGAAAACAACAGGGCAACCAUAGCGGUGAAUCCACAAACUAAAGAAGAUUAAAGUGUAUUAAAAAAUAAUUUCUUAAUUCUUAUUACUUUUGUAUGCAUUGCGUUCGGUUGUACCGUGUAUAAUUUAAUAUGUUUUGAAAUACGUGGGAAGUAUACAUUUGUAUGUUUUUUUUAAUGGUUUUAGCCUAAAACAUUCCACGUUAAUUAUUUUUGGAUUCUUCUGCAUCACAUCAAUCUGUUUCUAAGUGGGUUUGUAAAAUCGUUAACGAAGCUGUUGCCAAAUAGCCGAUAAAAAUUUGUUAAUGACGACAGACUAAAAGACAAGUUUCAUCGCCAUCUAUGAUUCACAUUUACAACUACUGAUGUGGAACAACAAUAAGUCUUCGUUACGUUACGUCAGACCGCAGCCAUUUUUUUGUAGCACUGAUUGUGAUUGUUGAUUUGAAGGAUGAAAGCUGAUCAUGUGGCCUACAUUUUGCCAAGAUGUCGUCUCUUUUUCCUGUACGUACCGGCUGUACGAUUUGUAAGAAACACUUCAGUCUGGUAAAGUUUGAGCUUCGUCAUUGCUGCCCAAUGUUAACAUGGAUUUGAUGCAGCCAGCUGGUAAAGGGUGUUCUUCUUGCUACCUGUACUGCUGUGUGUUUCGUCAAAUGAAGAAACAUGAACAACUGUAUUUCAAUCAACUUUCUAAUUGUCUGGCUGAUUCAAAAGCUUGCUUACCGACACUGAGAGGUUAAUCGUGUAUGAUCGCGUAGUUGGUGUCCGCUGUGGUACGUUGUUGCAGCCUAUGCUGGUGAUAGAUCUUUCUGCAUCAAGUUCAGUUGGGCAGUUGGCCGUGCUGGUGUCGUGUUACCGAAGUUGCAUUAUUACUUUAUUAAAUUAGCAUUGUAUCAAUGUAGUGCUUUAAUAUGUUAAGAAGAAACAAAAAAGAAAUAUGGGGAUGUGUUUAUGUCAAACAAAUAAUAAACAUGUUUUUGGGGUUGGGAAAGUAAAGUGGUGGAUGUUGGAGGGGGGAGGGAGGAUAUUUCAAGUUUGGAUAAACCUACUAAUGUAUCCCUACCAAUGAAUCUCCAAACCCCAAAAAUAUAUACCUUUCAAUCCUUCAAACCCCUUAAAUAUACACCUACCAACUCUAAAUCUAUACCCUUAACCCUAUAAACCAAUGUUAAACCUUAACCAUGUAAUAUCUGUAAUAAAUAAAAAAAGAUACACUAUAUAAACUAAGUUU